rnacentral:rRNA from 1 species
UACGUAGGGUGCAAGCGUUGUCCGGAAUUAUUGGGCGUAAAGAGCUCGUAGGCGGUUUGUCGCGUCGAAUGUGAAAACCCGGGGCUCAACCCCGGGCCUGCAUUCGAUACGGGCAGACUAGAGUUCGGUAGGGGAGUCUGGAAUUCCUGGUGUAGCGGUGAAAUGCGCAGAUAUCAGGAGGAACACCAAUGGCGAAGGCAGCUCGCUGGAACGGUACUGACGCUGAGGCGCGAAAGCGUGGGGAGCGAACAGG